GACGAACGCUGGCGGCGUGCUUAACACAUGCAAGUCGAACGGUAAGGCCUUUCGGGGUCCACGAGUGGCGAACGGGUGAGUAACACGUGGGUGAUCUGCCCUGCACUUCGGGAUAAGCCCGGGAAACUGGGUCUAAUACCGGAUAGGACUGCGCGGUGCAUGCCGUGUGGUGGAAAGAUUUAUCGGUGCAGGAUGGGGCCGCGGCCUAUCAGCUUGUUGGUGGGGUAAUGGCAUACCAAGGCGACGACUGAUAGCCGGCCUGAGAGGGCGACCGGCCACACGAGGACUGAGACACGGCGCAGACGGCUACGGGAGGCAGCAGUGGGGAAUAUUGCACAAUGGGCGCAAGCCUGAUGCAGCGACGCCGCGUGAGUGAUGACGUCCUUCGGGUUGUAAACCUCUGUCAGCAGGGACGAAGCGUGAGUGACGGUACCUGCAGAAGAAGCACCGGCCAACUACGUG
rnacentral:rRNA from 1 species